UCCGUAGGUGAACCUGCGGAGGGAUCAUUACACAAAUAUGAAGGCGGGCUGGAACCUCUCGGGGUUACAGCCUUGCUGAAUUAUUCACCCUUGUCUUUUGCGUACUUCUUGUUUCCUUGGUGGGUUCGCCCACCACUAGGACAAACAUAAACCUUUUGUAAUUGCAAUCAGCGUCAGUAACAAAUUAAUAAUUACAACUUUCAACAACGGAUCUCUUGGUUCUGGCAUCGAUGAAGAACGCAGCGAAAUGCGAUAAGUAGUGUGAAUUGCAGAAUUCAGUGAAUCAUCGAAUCUUUGAACGCACAUUGCGCCCUUUGGUAUUCCAAAGGGCAUGCCUGUUCGAGCGUCAUUUGUACCCUCAAGCUUUGCUUGGUGUUGGGCGUCUUGUCUCUAGCUUUGCUGGAGACUCGCCUUAAAGUAAUUGGCAGCCGGCCUACUGGUUUCGGAGCGCAGCACAAGUCGCACUCGUCUAUCAGCAAAGGUCUAGCAUCCAUUAAGCCUUUUUUUCAACUUUUGACCUCGGAUCAGGUAGGGAUACCCGCUGAACUUAAGCAUAUCAAUAAGCGGAGGA
rnacentral:rRNA from 1 species